rnacentral:misc_RNA from 1 species
ACCUCUGGACUUUCCUUUGAAGAAAGAAUUCACAAAAUUGAAUCAGGCAUACCCACGUACUUACGGGAACACGCUAAAGAACAACAUCAUUAGUCCCUCCACUGACUUGCCACCAUCAUUUGUCUAUCUUUUUCUAGCUUUCAGGAAUGAUCAUUAUGAUAAGCUAUUUUACUGUGAAGCGCACCAAGCUUUUCUUAAAAAAAUCCCUUGGUUGAUUCUGAAAUCGGAUGAAUACUUCAUUCCAUCUUUCUUCCUGAUCCCGCUUUCGGGCAAGAGCUAGACAAGAUGUUCCCUGACAAAGAAACUGUUUUUCACCACUUGGGUAGGUAUCUUUUCCACCCUUCAAAUCAGGCAUGGGGACUCAUCACUAGCUUCUAUCGCUCUAAUUUAGCCAAGGCUGACGAAAGAAUUAGUUUGCAAAUACCCCUAUUUGAUACUGAAGCUACUCCAUUCCAAAUUGUGAUGGAUCAAAUUUUAGCUUGUAUUUUAAAGGAGAACCUGCUGCCAGAAGUAGAUAAGGAAAGGUUCCUAGCAUCCCCAUCCAAAAACCAGACAUCAAAAGCUAUACUAAUAGCAUCUCUAUAUCCAGAAUUCUAUGAGAAUUUAGGGAACAUGUACUGGACAUUUCCAACUUUGUCUGGAGACUUAGUUGGGGUUUACCAGCCUAGCCAUGAGCAGUAUCAACACUUUGGGGAUAGUAUGCACAAUGUGAAGGCAUGGGUUGAAAUGAAUCUCCUGAGUUUGUGUGAUGUUUUUGUGAUAAGCUCUUGGUCAGCCUUCGGUUAUGUGGCUCAAGGCCUUGGAGGUUUGAAGCCAUGGAUUCUUUACAAGCCUGAUAACCAGGUGACCCCUAAUCCAGCUUGCUAGAAUGCCAUUUCAAUGGGGCCUUGUUACCAUUUUGCACCCAGUUUUGACUGUAAGGCGAAGGUGAAAGCAGAUAUGGGCACAAUUUUUCCUCAUGUCAAGCACUGUGAGGAUGCAACUUCAGGACUGAAACUGGUUAACAAUUAUAAUGGUUCUAGUUAAGAGUUUAAUAAUUAAAUCUGUAAUUUUCUCUAACUUAAUGAUUGUAGCUGCCUCCUUCCACAUGACAAAAUUACACUGGGC